AGAGUUUGAUCAUGGCUCAGAGCGAACGCUGGCGGCAGGCCUAACACAUGCAAGUCGAGCGGGCACCUUCGGGUGUCAGCGGCAGACGGGUGAGUAACACGUGGGAACGUGCCCUUUGGUUCGGAACAACUCCGGGAAACUGGAGCUAAUACCGGAUAAGCCCUUCGGGGGAAAGAUUUAUCGCCAAAGGAUCGGCCCGCGUCUGAUUAGCUAGUUGGUGAGGUAAUGGCUCACCAAGGCGACGAUCAGUAGCUGGUCUGAGAGGAUGAUCAGCCACACUGGGACUGAGACACGGCCCAGACUCCUACGGGAGGCAGCAGUGGGGAAUAUUGGACAAUGGGCGAAAGCCUGAUCCAGCCAUGCCGCGUGAGUGAUGAAGGCCCUAGGGUUGUAAAGCUCUUUUGUCCGGGAAGAUAAUGACUGUACCGGAAGAAUAAGCCCCGGCUAACUUCGUGCCAGCAGCCGCGGUAAUACGAAGGGGGCUAGCGUUGCUCGGAAUCACUGGGCGUAAAGGGCGCGUAGGCGGAUCUUUAAGUCGGGGGUGAAAGCCCAGGGCUCAACCCUGGAAUUGCCUCCGAUACUGAAGAUCUUGAGACCGGAAGAGGUUAGUGGAACUGCGAGUGUAGAGGUGAAAUUCGUAGAUAUUCGCAAGAACACCAGUGGCGAAGGCGGCUAACUGGUCCGGUUCUGACGCUGAGGCGCGAAAGCGUGGGGAGCAAACAGGAUUAGAUACCCUAGUAGUCC
rnacentral:rRNA from 1 species